GACGGAGGGGGCUAGCGUUGUUCGGAAUGACUGGGCGUAAAGGGCGCGUAGGUGGUUUUUCAAGUCAGGCGUGAAAGCCCCGGGCUUAACCUGGGAACUGCGCUUGAUACUGGAUGACUAGAGGACGAGAGAGGAAAGUGGAAUUCCGAGUGUAGAGGUGAAAUUCGUAGAUAUUCGGAGGAACAUCAGAGGCGAAGGCGGCUUUCUGGCUCGUAUCUGACGCUGAGGCGCGAAAGCGUGGGGAGCAAACAGGAUU
rnacentral:rRNA from 1 species